rnacentral:rRNA from 1 species
GAUCAUGGCUCAGGACGAACGCUGGCGGCGUGCUUAACACAUGCAAGUCGAACGAGAAUCUACGGAUCGAGGAUUCGUCCAAGAGAAGUAGAGGACAGUGGCGGACGGGUGAGUAACGCGUGAGGAACCUGCCUUUCAGAGGGGGACAACAGUUGGAAACGACUGCUAAUACCGCAUGACACAUUGGAGUCGCAUGGCUCUGAUGUCAAAGAUUUAUCGCUGAAAGAUGG